GCCUUCUCCUGUCUGCCACCACGUGAGAUGUGCCUUUCACCUUCCACUAUGAUUGUGAGGCCUCACCAGCCAUGUGGAACUAGUUCAAGAUUUCAACAUUUUAAGAUAAUCUGAAAAAAAUUGGAAUGUGCCCCCAGCUGCCAAUACUCUCUCAACACUGUUUAUCAAAGGAACCAAUAUGGAAGGAAAAACAUUGCUUUGAAGGGAAGAUGGAUGGAUCCCCUAGUAAACUACAGCUUGAGGUGCAAUUUCCUAAAGUUCAAAUGCCUGAAAAAGGAAACGAAAGAAAGAAACUCAACUCUUGAGACAGCUUCAAUGCUAGCUUUGAUCUCAAUUAUAGAGUUAUUUAUGAAAAGUGCAUUUUUACAACUAAAAAUAAAUUAGGAUCAAAAGCUUCUAGAGGCUAUACUAUGGAGUGCUUAAUAAAAAGUUGAGUAAAGAG
rnacentral:lncRNA from 1 species